GCGGGUGUAGCUCAAUGGUAGAGCGGUGGCCUUCCAAGCCACAUACGUGGGUUCGAUUCCCAUCACCCGCUCCA
rnacentral:tRNA from 1 species